GUGGACGUAGCUCAGUUGGUAGAGCUCCGGGUUGUGGUCCCGGCGGCCGCGGGUUCGAGUCCCGUCGUCCACCCUCCA
rnacentral:tRNA from 1 species